GCGCUGGCGGCGUGCCUAAUACAUGCAAGUCGAGCGAACAGAAGGGAGCUUGCUCCCGGAUGUUAGCGGCGGACGGGUGAGUAACACGUGGGUAACCUGCCUGUAAGACUGGGAUAACUCCGGGAAACCGGAGCUAAUACCGGAUAGUUCCUUGAACCGCAUGGUUCAAGGAUGAAAGACGGUUUCGGCUGUCACUUACAGAUGGACCCGCGGCGCAUUAGCUAGUUGGUGGGGUAAUGGCUCACCAAGGCGACGAUGCGUAGCCGACCUGAGAGGGUGAUCGGCCACACUGGGACUGAGACACGGCCCAGACUCCUACGGGAGGCAGCAGUAGGGAAUCUUCCGCAAUGGACGAAAGUCUGACGGAGCAACGCCGCGUGAGUGAUGAAGGUUUUCGGAUCGUAAAGCUCUGUUGUUAGGGAAGAACAAGUGCGAGAGUAACUGCUCGCACCUUGACGGUACCUAACCAGAAAGCCACGGCUAACUACGUGCCAGCAGCCGCGGUAAUACGUAGGUGGCAAGCGUUGUCCGGAAUUAUUGGGCGUAAAGGGCUCGCAGGCGGUUUCUUAAGUCUGAUGUGAAAGCCCCCGGCUCAACCGGGGAGGGUCAUUGGAAACUGGGAAACUUGAGUGCAGAAGAGGAGAGUGGAAUUCCACGUGUAGCGGUGAAAUGCGUAGAGAUGUGGAGGAACACCAGUGGCGAAGGCGACUCUCUGGUCUGUAACUGACGCUGAGGAGCGAAAGCGUGGGGAGCGAACAGGAUUAUAUACCCUGGUAGUCCACGCCGUAAACGAUGAGUGCUAAGUGUUAGGGGGUUUCCGCCCCUUAGUGCUGCAGCUAACGCAUUAAGCACUCCGCCUGGGGAGUACGGUCGCAAGACUGAAACUCAAAGGAAUUGACGGGGGCCCGCACAAGCGGUGGAUCAUGUGGUUUAAUUCGAAGCAACGCGAAGAACCUUACCAGGUCUUGACAUCCUCUGACAACCCUAGAGAUAGGGCUUUCCCUUCGGGGACAGAAUGACAGGGUGGUGCAUGGCUGUCGUCACCUCCUGUCCCCGAAAUGUUGGGUUAAUUCCCCCAACAACCCCCACCCUUGACCUAAUUGCCACAUUCAGUUGGCCCUUUAGGGGAAUGCCGGGACAACCCGCAGAAA
rnacentral:rRNA from 1 species